rnacentral:rRNA from 1 species
UACGGGGGGGGCAAGCGUUGUUCGGAAUUACUGGGCGUAAAGGGCUCGUAGGCGGCCAACUAAGUCAGACGUGAAAUCCCUCGGCUUAACCGGGGAACUGCGUCUGAUACUGGAUGGCUUGAGUUUGGGAGAGGGAUGUGGAAUUCCUGGUGCAGCGGUGAAAUGCGCAGAUAUCAGGAAGAACACCCGUGGCGAAGGCGGCUCUCUGGUACGUGACUGACGCUGAGACGCGAAAGCGUGGGGAGCGAACAGG